rnacentral:rRNA from 1 species
ACGCUGGCGGCAGGCUUAUACCUGCAGUCGAGCGCAUCCUUCGGGAUGAGCGGCGGACGGGUGAGUAACGCGUGGGAAUGUGCCCUUCUCUACGGAAUAGCCACUGGAAACGGUGAGUAAUACCGUAUACGCCCUCAGGGGGAAAGAUUUAUCGGAGAAGGAUCAGCCCGCGUUAGAUUAGGUAGUUGGUGGGGUAACGGCCUACCAAGCCUACGAUCUAUAGCUGGUUUUAGAGUAUGAUCAGCCACACUGGGACUGAGACACGGCCCAGACUCCUACGGGAGGCAGCAGUAGGGAAUCUUGGACAAUGGGGGCAACCCUGAUCCAGCCAUGCCGCAGUGAGUGAAGAAGGCCCUAGGGUCGUAAAGCUCUUUCGCCUGUGAUGAUAAUGACAGUAGCAGGUAAAGAAACCCCGGCUAACUCCGUUGCCAGCAGCCGCGGUAAUACGGAGGGGGUUAGCGUUGUUCGGAAUUACUGGGCGUAAAGCGCGCGUAGGCGGAUUGGAAAGUUUGGGGGUGAACAAUACCGGGGCUCAACCCGGAACUGGCUUCCAAACUCCCAGUCUAGAGUUCGAGGAGAGUGAGUGGAAUUCCGAGUGUAGAGGU